GUGAAGAAAACAGACCAACACCCUGUCCUCAUAAACUUACUUUCUCCUGGGAAAGGACUAAGCUCACAGGAACACAGAAGAAAGGAGACAACAGCAGCUGCACAUGGUCUAAUGUUGGGAGGAUAAAAUGGCGUGCUAUGGAAAUACAUUCAUCAUUUUGUCUCCAGCAGCCUGGAAUCUGCUUUAGAGAAAACGCUCCCCAAGUGGUUAUUGAAUGAAUGAGUGAUGACCACCCCACCCCUCAUCCCCGCCGUGGUUUGUUUUCAAAUACUCUCUCUGUUGAGAAAACGACCCAGACCAGAAGUGGCUAAGAAGAUUCCAUGCCUAAAUGGAACAAGGCACCGUAGACAGGCACCUGGAACAGAAAAAGGACGUCAAUGAACAACUGAAGACAUCCAGACAGGUAUGGAGGUUAGUGACUAGUAAGGAAUGUACCAGUGUACUCAUUGGUUUGACAAAUAUCUCCUAGGAUGUUAGCGAUAAGGGCAGCUAGGAGAUGGUAUAAGAAAAUUCUCUAUGCAACAUUUGCAAACUUUCUGCAAGUCUGAACCUAUUCUCAGAAAGAAAGCUUAUUUCAAUAAAUUGAAAACAAUUCCCUCUGCAGGCAGCAUGGAGGGUGGAGUUGAAUGGGGUAUCCCCAUGGUCAUGGUUGUGAAGACCUGAGCUCUGCAGGUGGCACAGGACAGUGGCGGGGGGGGGGGGGCAGGGCUGGAUAACUGGCUGGAUGUGGGAACUGAGCUGGGGACUUGGGUCAGAGGUGAUAAUCCAGCCCUGAGCUCAGGGCCAGGCCUGGAGGAGGCCUAAGAAAGAGGGUAGGUUGCAAUCGACCGAUCUGGGCAGCGGGGACAAGGGGAGCCCCCAGCCCCCCACCACUCUGAGCAUCGCACCACUCGGAUCAUGACGGCGUGUCCUGGGUACCCAGACUCUUUGCAACACUGCUUCCCAAACUGCUGGUGGAAAAGGAUCAGGCUUUUGUUUUUUGGUUUUAAAAAUAUACAUCCAGUCCAGUGAAGAUCAGUAUUUUGAUCUGCACCCUGUUCAGGGAAGCAAGUCCAUCAUGUGCUUGGCUGUCAGGCAGUUUCAAAGCACUCUACACGUUUCCGAACGCUUCCCCUCCGUGUGCUAUUUUUACUUCAUCAGUGCAAACACAGCUUGUGGGCUGUACUGUCCACUUUCACCCUCAUGACCACCCAAGCGUUAGGAUCUAUGAUUCUCACUGUACAGAUGAGAAAACUGAGACUCAAAGAGAUUUAUUGCCAUCCGAGGUCACGCGGAACUAGUAAAUUGCAGUGAGAGGAGAUUUCAUCUGUCCCCACUCAGGUCAUACAACCCCGUCAGGCAGUCCUGUGGCUUGACCUCUUCUCGUGCCCUUCAGAUUGUUUUCAGUGCUCUUCAUGCCUUUUCCCUGGAGGCCGAAUCAUGUGUUACUUUGACUCAAGAAAAGAAGGAUGUAGCGGGGAGCGCCUUUGCCAGAGGUGACCUCACAGCCCAUGUCCCCAGGGCGCAGCGGCAGGAGUAUGCAAAGAGCUCAGAGCCAGGGGGACCUUGCCAAAGUGGCCGGGAGCACUGACCCUGACCCAGGCAUCAUUCCUCGGGCUCUGCUGCUAACACAGGCUGGGAAGGGAAGGAGGACGGUCCCAGGGCAUCCUGCCCAAAGACAAUCCCCUUCAUGACCCCAAGUGGUACUUAGCAGCAGCUGCUACAACAACAGAACAUUGGAGCACCUGCCAGGCAAAGGGUGAAGUGUGAAGACAUUCAUUUGUGUUUACUUUUGCUCUGUGGAAAGAUCGAGAGGAUGCAGUCUUGGGUUUUUUUUUUUCCUUUACUGUAUCCAGUUCUUUCCCACUCUGAGACCGAGGCUGGGCUUUUGGGCUUUCUCUCCUUGGGGAUAUUUGCAGAGACAAUAGAGAAUGGAUUUGGAACAUUCUCCUUUCCAGGCUUCUGAGAAAGCCUGCACUCACAAGGAGCUGGUGCCAGAAAAGGGGGCAGGCAGUGCUCCUGGGGCAGGUGAGGUGUCAACAGACAGUGAGAGACUCCAAGUUCUCUGGAGAAGGGCUGGAAGCCAGAGGGUUUGUGGGCAGGGGAAGCUGAGGUCCAAUUCCUGGGGCAGUGACUGAUUUGUGGGCUUAGGGAGAUUCAUUCAUUCAUCAAAUAUUCACCAAAAACCUACCUGCACAUGCACCUGUCUAGGUUCUGGGCACGUACCCAUCUGGGUUCUCAUGCAAAUAAGACAGACUUCAGGAAAAUGACAAUACACUCAUUUAAUAGAGUAGGAGUCUCUCCUCCAGUCCCUGGCUGUGAUCAUCCUCCAGCUGCCGUUUGCUCAUCCUGUCCCACAGCAGGACACUCUUGCCCAAAACUCCGAUAUUCUGUGGCUCUGUCUCAGCAAAGGAUAAUAGUGCAUGUUCCUUGCCAGAGCACGCCAAGCCAUUAGAAUGGAAUAAACUGGACCAGCGUGUGACCCCCCGCUUGCACACACCCUUGGUACCUACGCCUCACCUUGUAUAUCUGGGCUCACUCAGCCCAGCACAUCCUUCCCAUGUGUUUUGGGCUCUGGCAACACACAGACCUUCCUUACAAUUCACUUGCAAGUCUCUGCUCCCAUCCUUAUUCUGUUUCCUCUGCCCCAAGUGGUGUUCAGAUUUCCCGUUCCUCAUCAUAUUACAAACCUAGCCUGAGACCCGGCUCCCAUGUCACCUCCACUGGGAAGCCUUCUCUGAUUUCCCUGGUCAGGGUGAAUGCUUACUACUCCCAGUUCCCAGCCAGCCUGACUCACAGUACUCACUAUACCUUCCUCACUUCCCAGCCAACACUGUGUUUCUUCUGCACAGCACACGGCUCUCCACCACUCUCCGGCUGGUCCAUGCUGCAGUGCGUCGACCACAGAUGCUGUCCUCGAGCCUGCGCAGCCCCUUUGUGCUUGUUAUCACCUGGAUAACAGGUGUACAAAGGCUCAGCGAGCACGCAGUUCAGACGCGAGCAGGAGCACACAGGCUCCGAAGGGGAUGGCUAGGGGAGAGCCUCAGGUUAUGCGGUUCAUUCAACUGGCUGGAGGAACAUCCCUUGUUUUGAAGGUUAGGGGCUGAAUUACUCAUAAGUUCAUGGGAAGCAAACAAACGAAAGGGGAAAAGCAAUUACUGACUCCUAAAAAGGACAAAAGCUAUUUGAAAGAAAACGUAAUCAUGGUACACUCUGUGUAUUAUUUAUAUAAUCGUAAUCAUGUCAGUACUGAACAGAGAUUUAAGUAAACAUGGUGAUAACAACUAUAUUGAAUGGACAAGAGUUUGAGAAAUGUGUGUGUCUGUGACUGCAUGCGUGAGUGUGAACAGACGUGUGUGUGUCAGAGCCGGGAGGCAGGACUAAGAGAGCGGAGUUGUCAUUUUGUUAGUAGCUAAUGUCCACAAAGGAAAAAUCAAGAAUUGGAAUUGUAAGUCUGUUAUAUAGAAAUAGGAAGGGAAGGACGCCUGUGUGGCUCAGUCAUUAAGCGUCUGCCUUUGGCUCAGGUCAUGAUCCCAGGGUCCUGGAAUUGAGCCCCGCCUUGGACUCCCUGUUCUACAGGGCGUCUGCCUAUCCCUCACCAACUCCCCCUGCUUGUGUUCGUUCUCUGUCUCUCUCUGUCUCUGUGUCAAAUAAAUAAAUAAAUAAUCUUUUUUAAAAAAUAGGAAGGUACAAGCACCCCAGAAAAUGGUUGCCCUAUUUCCAAAAUCAAGGUGCUGCUGUUUUUUCUAUAAAUUUGUUUUUGCUGGAACUAUUUGACUUUGAAAACCUAGGCACAUACGUUGCUCCGGUUAGAAUUCAGAUUUCAAUUAAACAGUUUAAAUGCAGGUGAAAGACGAGUUGACUGCUACCACUCACCCAGACAUCUGUCCCCAUCACCCUGGGGAAGUAGCGGUGGAAGUGGGGUGCGGUCUGCAGAGAGUGAGCCUUUGGCCUUUAGCCCUCAGGGCAGCGGGCUCCAUAGGGAGCGGUGUGGGGGGAUUCUGCUGGGACCCAGCUGCUGUGUCUGGUUCUGUUUUCUUGCCAUGCCUCAGAAGCAUGGGGUAAACCUCCCCUCAUUAGCUGGGGUGUCUCCUGUUGGGUGGGGCUCAGGGCAGGAGCCAUUAGGUGGAAGGGUGUUUCGGGAAACACUUGCAAACUGGGGACAAGGGUGUUUGUUUUUCCUCUGAGACCCAGACACUUCUGGUAACCAUUGUUCCCAAGUGUGGUUUUUUGAAAACUUAUUCUUUUCAAAUUCCACGGGCAGCCCAGACUGAUUCGUCCGUCUAGGAAUUUGAGGAGCCAAGAGCAGAAAUAACAUUUUAUGAGAGAAGGGGGAUCAAAGGCAGCGCGCUUUCUGCAGAACCCACUCAGGUCUUGCACUUUGGGGAUCACACCUCAUUAUGGUCCCCAGCUGCUCCAGGUUGGUUUUUAACAAGUUGCCUUCCUGUGUGCUUUGGCUUUUGUUCAGCAUUUUCCAAGCAAACUGCUGUGUCUCCUGGUGCUGGGACAAGUUCCCAGUGACCCCAAAGAGGGAUCCCAUAUGAGGGAUCUUGUACUUUGUCUGACAGUAUACCUAGAUUUCCCUUUUGGAUGUUCUUUUCCCCCUUAAAACAAUACCUUUGACUUCUCUAAUGCUUUGUGGAGCUAAGGUGCUCAGCACCUUAGCUGAUCUAUGUUCUAUCAACAUGGGACGAGCAAGGAUUAUUGUUUCCAUUUUAUAGGUGGGGAAACUGAGGCCCAAAUCAGUGAAGAGACUUGCCCAGAUCACACAGCUAACAUGGCAGAGUUGGGAGUUGAACCCGGGGUCUCCUGAGGUCUCUGCCAGGACUUUGCCCGAUGCCGGGCACCUGCAAACUUGCCGGCCCCCAGCUCCAGUGGGGCUGACCGUGCACCCUCCCCAAGGCCCAGUGCGGGGGCUGGCUCACCUGCCGGCCUGUAUCAGAUGCAGCUGGGUCUCCAGACCUCUCCAGUUCCUGUCUCCUCCCCAACCACAGCCUCUUUAGCCUAGGGCCUGGAUUUCAGCUGUGACCACCAGCCGGACAGUCUGAAGCUAACUGCCUCUAGAAGGUGAAUGAAUGCCACUCAGCACCUCCCAGGUCAGAGAAGACUGCAUCAGGAUUUGAUGGUAGGUGGCAAUCCCAGCUCUGUCACUGGACGGCCGUGGCCUCGGGUAACGUUUAAGGCAUCCUGGGCCUCAGUGUCCUCAUCUCUAAGACAGGGGCAGUAAUUCUUAUCUCAGUAGGAACUGACAGACCAGACAACUAAAAUAACGUACCAGCUGCACAAAGGAAAAGGAUGAUUAAUACCAGGUGUAAUAGUAACAACCGUAGGUGCCACACCUUUUCUAGGAGGGAUCCAGCCUCUCCCUCUCCACAGAGGGAAUAGGAACCCUCACAGCCACUAUUUGACUUGUCCAAGCUCACACGGUGAGUUAGCAGAAGUUGCAGGUCUGCACCUUAGUUCCGUUGUACCCCAACUUCAAUAUUCUUUCAGUGGUCAGAAGUCAAAUAUUUUCCUCCCCGCGUAAAUACCCGUCUUGUGCCUGUGUCGGCUCACGUGGUUCAGUUCUCAGAGAGUCGGUGGCUCAGAAAGUCUUUCAUCAAAAAUGGCCCUAUGAGGGGCGCCCAGGUGGCUCAGUCAGUUAAGCGUCCGACUCCUGAUUUCAGCUCAGCUGCAGAUCUCAGGGUAACGAGAUCGACCCCCACAUGGGGCUCUGUGCUCAAUGGCGAUUCUCCUCGAGAUUUCCACUUCCUCUCCCUCUGCUCCUCCCUCUGCUCUCUCUCAAAUAAAUAAAUAACUCUUUAAAAAAAAAAAAAAAACCUGUCAACGUAUGUUAGGAUGCUUUUGAUGGCAAGUAACAAUUCAUAACUAAAACAUGAGGGAAAUACGUGAGAUCCUGCGGCCAGCAGUCCAGACCCCAGAGCUGGUGAGUUUGGGCUCAGUGACAGGGCCAGCAAUUGGCAGGAUGGCUGAGACAUUUUCGGGGGCUUCACAGGUAGGAUAGAGCUCACGGAAGAAGGGAGGGUGUUUCCUCACUGGUUUCGUUGCUUAUUAGUGAGGAAGAUGUUCCAGAAGCAACCCCUGUGACGAAGCAGCAUUCCCCUUGUAUCUCAUUGGCCAAAGUGGCAUCACAGGCCAGGACUAAGCCCAUCACUGACAAAAAAUAGGGAAUUGCCAAGACUGACUCAGGCUAAUCAGCAUCCGCCCUUGGGUGUCACCUUCCAGAACACAUGGGCAGGUGAGCCCCUAAGCAAAAUCAGGGUUCUGGCAAGGACCUAGAGCUGAGCUGGGCAGGACUUUCUGCAAUAGUGUAAGUGUUCUGCGUCCGUGCUGUCUAAUACGACGUAACGUGCCUACCAUCUGGGGCUUGGCAGGUCUAGACGGUGUAUAUGAGUGUGUGGGUGGGCACGCGUGUGUGUCUGUCUGUUGGAUAGGUAGCCAAGAGUCUGCUGCAGAGUUAAUGAGCUUUCCCGGGAAUACUUAUAUUCUCUCUCCCCCCAAAUGGAAAGAGAGGCUCAUUGCAGGUCAUAAACUGGUGGGUAGAGGUGGAAGAGGAGAAGCCCCUAGCAGCCUCCCCAGGGGAGGACCCCAGAACCUCGGAGGAGGAGCCCCCACUGAGCAGCAUGGGCUUCCCCCCAUCGGGCCUGCCACCAGGACACUCCAGACAGAGGGCAGAGGUCCCGUGCCCUGCCCUCCUCAUGUGCUUUCCGGCUCCCCUCCAUUGUCCUCUCUGUUCUCCCUUCUGCCGCCCCCACCCCUCAUUCCAACCCUCCUUCUCCCUACUCCCC